rnacentral:rRNA from 1 species
GAUGAACGCUAGCUACAGGCUUAACACAUGCAAGUCGAGGGGCAGCAUGAACUUAGCUUGCUAAGUUUGAUGGCGACCGGCGCACGGGUGAGUAACACGUAUCCAACCUGCCGAUGACUCGGGGAUAGCCUUUCGAAAGAAAGAUUAAUACCCGAUGGCAUAGUUCUUCCGCAUGGUAGAACUAUUAAAGGAUUUCGGUCAUCGAUGGGGAUGCGUUCCAUUAGGUUGUUGGCGGGGUAACGGCCCACCAAGCCUUCGAUGGAUAGGGGUUCUGAGAGGAAGGUCCCCCCACAUUGGAACUGAGACACGGUCCAAACUCCUACGGGAGGCAGCAGUGAGGAAUAUUGGUCAAUGGACGAGAGUCUGAACCAGCCAAGUAGCGUGAAGGAUGACUGCCCUAUGGGUUGUAAACUUCUUUAUACGGGAAUAAAGUGAGGCACGUGUGCCUUUUUGUAUGUACCGUAUGAAUAAGGAUCGGCUAACUCCGUG